rnacentral:rRNA from 1 species
GGGUAGUUUGACUGGGGCGGUCUCCUCCCAAAGAGUAACGGAGGAGCACGAAGGUGGGCUAAUCACGGUUGGACAUCGUGAGGUUAGUGCAAUGGCAUAAGCCCGCUUAACUGCGAGAAUGACGGUUCGAGCAGGUGCGAAAGCAGGUCAUAGUGAUCCGGUGGUUCUGUAUGGAAGGGCCAUCGCUCAACGGAUAAAAGGUACUCCGGGGAUAACAGGCUGAUACCGCCCAAGAGUUCAUAUCGACGGCGGUGUUUGGCACCUCGAUGUCGGCUCAUCACAUCCUGGGGCUGAAGUCGGUCCCAAGGGUAUGGCUGUUCGCCAUUUAAAGUGGUACGCGAGCUGGGUUUAGAACGUCGUGAGACAGUUCGGUCCCUAUCUGCCGUGGGCGUUGGAAGAUUGAAGGGGGCUGCUCCUAGUACGAGAGGACCGGAGUGGACGAACCUCUGGUGUUCGGGUUGUGUCGCCAGACGCAUUGCCCGGUAGCUAAGUUCGGAAUUGAUAAGCGCUGAAAGCAUCUAAGCGCGAAGCGAGCCCUGAGAUGAGUCUUCCCUGAUACUUUAAGUAUCCUAAAGGGUUGUUCGAGACUAGAACGUUGAUAGGCAGGGUGUGUAAGCGUUGUGAGGCGUUGAGCUAACCUGUACUAAUUGCCCGUGAGGCUUAACCAUACAACACCCAAG